UAAUUAAGCGGAGGAAAAGAAACUAACUAGGAUUCCCUCAGUAACGGCGAGUGAAGCGGGACUAGCUCAGGAUGUGAAUCUGCGCUUUUAUGGCGCCGAAUUGUGGUCUAUAGACUUUGACGUUAUCUGCCGGGCCAAGUUCCUUGGAAAAGGACAGCUGAGAGGGUGAGACUCCCGUCCGCCUGGUAGAGUGAGUCUUUGUCAACGAGUCGAGUUGUUUGGGAUUGCAGCUCUAAUUUGGUGGUAAAUUCCAUCUAAAGCUAAAUAUUGGUGGGAGACCGAUAGCGUACAAGUACCGUGAGGGAAAGAUGCAAAGAACUUUGAAAAGAGAGUUAAAGAGUACCUGAAAUUGCUGAAACGGAAGCGAAGGAAACCAGUGUUUGUUGGUUCAUAUUUCCCUGGCCACUUGUGGUUUGGGCGCUGUGAGCUUGCGUGGGUUUGCUUUGGUUGAUCCCUUUGGAAGAGCGCAGUCAGAGUUGAUGUCUGUUGCUAGCACUGGGUUUGACUAAUGCAGACGAAAUGGUUUUCUUUACCCCG
rnacentral:rRNA from 1 species